rnacentral:rRNA from 1 species
AUUGAACGCUGGCGGCAGGCUUAACACAUGCAAGUCGAGCGGGGUGAUGGUGCUUGCACUAUCACUUAGCGGCGGACGGGUGAGUAAUGCUUAGGAAUCUGCCUAUUAGUGGGGGACAACAUCUCGAAAGGGAUGCUAAUACCGCAUACGUCCUACGGGAGAAAGCAGGGGAUCACUUGUGACCUUGCGCUAAUAGAUGAGCCUAAGUCGGAUUAGCUAGUUGGUGGGGUAAAGGCCUACCAAGGCGACGAUCUGUAGCGGGUCUGAGAGGAUGAUCCACCCCACUGGGACUGAGACACGGCCCCGACUCCUACGGGAGGCAGCAGUGGGGAAUAUUGGACAAUGGGGGGAACCCUGAUCCAGCCAUGCCGCGUGUGUGAAGAAGGCCUUAUGGUUGUAAAGCACUUUAAGCGAGGAGGAGGCUCUUUUGGUUAAUACCCAAGAUGAGUGGACGUUACUCGCAGAAUAAGCACCGGCUAACUCUGUGCCAGCCGCCGCCGUAA